CCUAACACAUGCAAGUCGAGCGGUAGAGAGAAGCUUGCUUCUCUUGAGAGCGGCGGACGGGUGAGUAAUGCCUAGGAAUCUGCCUGGUAGUGGGGGAUAACGCUCGGAAACGGACGCUAAUACCGCAUACGUCCUACGGGAGAAAGCAGGGGACCUUCGGGCCUUGCGCUAUCAGAUGAGCCUAGGUCGGAUUAGCUAGUUGGUGAGGUAAUGGCUCACCAAGGCGACGAUCCGUAACUGGUCUGAGAGGAUGAUCAGUCACACUGGAACUGAGACACGGUCCAGACUCCUACGGGAGGCAGCAGUGGGGAAUAUUGGACAAUGGGCGAAAGCCUGAUCCAGCCAUGCCGCGUGUGUGAAGAAGGUCUUCGGAUUGUAAAGCACUUUAAGUUGGGAGGAAGGGCAUUAACCUAAUACGUUGGUGUCUUGACGUUACCGACAGAAUAAGCACCGGCUAACUCUGUGCCAGCAGCCGCGGUAAUACAGAGGGUGCAAGCGUUAAUCGGAAUUACUGGGCGUAAAGCGCGCGUAGGUGGUUCGUUAAGUUGGAUGUGAAAUCCCCGGGCUCAACCUGGGAACUGCAUUCAAAACUGACGAGCUAGAGUAUGGUAGAGGUGGGUGGAAUUUCCUGUGUAGCGGUGAAAUGCGUAG
rnacentral:rRNA from 1 species